UACGUAGGGAGCAAGCGUUGUCCGGAUUUACUGGGUGUAAAGGGUGCGCAGGCGGCUCUGCAAGUCAGCUGUGAAAUCUAUGGGCUCAACCCAUAAAUUGCAGUUGAAACUGUGGAGCUUGAGUGAAGUAGAGGUAGGCGGAAUUCCCGGUGUAGCGGUGAAAUGCGUAGAGAUCGGGAGGAACACCAGUGGCGAAGGCGGCCUACUGGGCUUUAACUGACGCUCAGGCACGAAAGCAUGGGUAGCAAAC
rnacentral:rRNA from 1 species